CGGACGGGGGAGUAAUGUCUGGGAAACUGCCUGAUGGAGGGGGAUAACUACUGGAAACGGUAGCUAAUACCGCAUAACGUCGCAAGACCAAAGAGGGGACCUUCGGGCCUCUUGCCAUCGGAUGUGCCCAGAUGGGAUUAGCUAGUAGGUGGGGUAAAGGCUCACCUAGGCGACGAUCCCUAGCUGGUCUGAGAGGAUGACCAGCCACACUGGAACUGAGACACGGUCCAG
rnacentral:rRNA from 1 species